rnacentral:lncRNA from 1 species
ACUUCACAAACUUUCUAGCAAUAUCUCCCGAGAGUAUUUUUUCUCUAACAAACUGACUGUCAAUCUCAAUGUGUUCAGUUCUCUCAUAGAACAUUGGAUUUGGCGUAAUAUGAAAAGCAACUUGAUUAUCACACACAAAUCUCAUCUGACUAAUCUCACCAAAUUUCAACUCCUUGAGCAACUGUUUGAUCCAACUUAACUGACAUGUCGCCAUAGCCAUUGCUCGAUAUUCUGCUUCUACACUAGACCGAGCAACCACAUUCUGUUUCUUUUCCAAGACAUAAAAUUUUCUCCGACUAAGACACAAUAUCCAGACGUAGAAUGUCUAUCAGCAUCUGAGUAUCCAACGAUCUGCUCAUGGCCUUGAUCUUCAAACAAUAAACCUUUGCCUGGAGCUGAUUUUAUAUAUCGAAAAAUGCGAACAACUGCAUCCCAAUGAUUAUCAUAGGAAGAAUUCAUAAACUGAGUCACAAUACUCACAGGAAAGGAAAUGUCAGGUUUAGUCCCUGUCUUUGCAAAAGUUUAGAAUUCGGAUCCAUCAGAGUGUCAACAGGUCUACAACCUGUCAUUCCUGUCUCCUCAAGAAUAUCUAAGGCGAACUUUCAUUGUACAAUACCUGAGCUAGACUGAGCGACCUCGAUACCCAAAAAAUACUUUAGUUUGCCCAGAUCCUUAGUCUAUAAGAAUAUCUAGGGCAUACUUAUGUUGUGAGAUCAUAAUACCUGAGUUAGACUGAGCGACCUCCAUACCCAAAAAUACUUUAAUCUGCCCAAAUCCUUAGUCUGAAAGUAUUGAAAGAUAUGUUGCUUCAACUUACUAAUAACAUCCUGAUCAUUGCCUGUAAUAACAAUAUCGUCAGCAUAAACGAUCGGAUAAAUACAGAGAUUUGAAGCAGAAUGCCGCUAAAACACAAAGUGAUCAGCUUCACUACAAAUCAUGCCAAACUCUUGAAUAAAUGUGCUGAACAUACCAAACCAGGCUCGAGUAGACUGCCUUAGAUCAUAGAGAGACUGGCGCAACCGACAUAUAAGGCCACUAGACUCCCCCUAGCAAAAACCUCAUCCUCGAGGCUACCACGAAGAAAAGCAUUCUUAAUGUCUAACUGAUAGAGAGGCCAAUGGCGAACAACAACCAUGGAUAGAAAAAGGCGCACUGAUGCUAUUUUAGCCACGUGAGAGAAAGUAUCACUGUAAUCGAGUCCAAA